AGAGUUUGAUCCUGGCUCAGGACGAACGCUGGCGGCAUGCCUAAUACAUGCAAGUCGAACGCUUUGAUUUCACCGGGUGCUUGCACCCACCGAAGUCAAGGAGUGGCGGACGGGUGAGUAACACGUGGGUAACCUGCCCAUAAGAGGGGGAUAACAUUCGGAAACGGAUGCUAAUACCGCAUAUUUCUAAACGUCACAUGACGAAUAGAAGAAAGGUGGCUUCGGCUACCGCUUAUGGAUGGACCCGCGGCGUAUUAGCUAGUUGGUGAGGUAAUGGCUCACCAAGGCGAUGAUACGUAGCCGACCUGAGAGGGUGAUCGGCCACACUGGGACUGAGACACGGCCCAGACUCCUACGGGAGGCAGCAGUAGGGAAUCUUCCGCAAUGGACGAAAGUCUGACGGAGCAAUGCCGCGUGAGUGAAGAAGGUUUUCGGAUCGUAAAACUCUGUUGUUAGAGAAGAACAAGGAUGAGAGUAACUGCUCAUCCCCUGACGGUAUCUAACCAGAAAGCCACGGCUAACUACGUGCCAGCAGCCGCGGUAAU
rnacentral:rRNA from 1 species